rnacentral:lncRNA from 1 species
UGCUCAAGAGAUCAAUCAGGUGCUGCUUCCCAAAUUAACAUAAUAGAAGGGGGAAUAGGCCCAAAUCAUUGUCUAUCUGGUUCAAAGUAUUUUUUUGUUCAAGACAGACAAGGGACACAGACAGGCAGAAACACUACAACUACGACGACUUACAAGGUACAUCGAACAAGUGGACUUCUGAAGGCCACUGAUAGACAACAGUACAACAACCAGGAAGAAGAUCAAAGCCAUCGAGCAGCAACUAAGCAUCUUGAACCUUCCGCUUCAGCUCCUCAUUCUCCUUUGUCAGAUGCUCGACUUUGGAUUGAAGAACAUUAGCCAUCGACCGGAUGCUCAACAUUUCAAGCCUUGAUCAUCUUGCAAGAUCAUAAAAUGGUCUUCUCUUUUGACCAGCAGCUCGGAAGGAAAUGUCGUUCGCAUGUCAUUUUCACACAUAAAAACCACUUCUUCUUUUUCUAUUAAAUUGUCUUGGACUCAAUCGUCCAAUCAUUGAGCUAAUCGUGACUGCAUGAAACAAGCAUGAACCACCAAAUUUCGUGUAAGCCUACCCUUUCAGUAUCCCCAGCACGA